GGAAUAUUGGGCAAUGGAGGAAGCUCUGACCCAGCGACGCCGCGUGAGGGAUGAAGGCCUUCGGGUUGUAAACCUCUUUCAGUAGGGAAGAAGCGAAAGUGACGGUACCUACAGAAGAAGCACCGGCUAACUAUGUGCCAGCAGCCGCGGUAAUACAUAGGGUGCAAGCGUUGUCCGGAAUUAUUGGGCGUAAAGAGCUCGUAGGUGGUUCGAUACGUCGGAUGUGAAAAUCAGGGGCUCAACCCCUGACCUGCAUCCGAUACGGUCGAGCUAGAGUUUGGUAGGGGAGACUGGAAUUCCUGGUGUAGCGGUGGAAUGCGCAGAUAUCAGGAGGAACACCGAUGGCGAAGGCAGGUCUCUGGGCCAAUACUGACACUGAGGAGCGAAAGCGUGGGGAGCGAACAGGAUUAGAUACCCUGGUAGUCCACGCCGUAAACGGUGGGCGCUAGUUGUGCGAACCUUCCACGGUUUGUGCGACGCAGCUAACGCAUUAAGCGCCCCGCCUGGGGAGUACGAUCGCAAGAUUAAAACUCAAAUGAAUUGACGG
rnacentral:rRNA from 1 species